rnacentral:lncRNA from 1 species
UCACUUUGCUCUGCUUCUCGAUCGAUCCAAACCAGUUGUCUUUGCUCGUUUGAUUUGCUACAAUGAAAGUAUGAAUGUUGAUUUGCUACAAUGGAAGGAUUUGAAAAUUUGAGGUAAAGAAGGGUUUGUCAACUUGUUUAGCCAAUUCAAUGUCCUCGUCCACACCAACUUGUUAGAUCUUAAAUAUGUUAAUUUUAUUUAGUUCAAUGGUUAUGGACUGGAGGAAGGAGCAAUGCGGUGGAUCCUGCGGUGGGGGGAAGGAAGAAGAUGGAAGGAUUUGUUAGGUGAGAAAGUAUUUGUUUUUGUUAAUAAUAAUAAUUAAAAUAUUAUAUUCUCAAUUCUCAAUUAAUAAUUACUNNNNNNNNNNNNNNNNNNNNNAAAAAAAAACAGGAGCAACCUUUGAUAGCCGGUAAAAAUACUCUCUCACCAGUGAGAGAUAUGUUACUCACACCCACGCUAGCAUCCGCCUUUGUUUGGUACAUGCUUGAAUCAUAGCAAGAAUGAGUGUUGGAGAUUUUAUCUAACAUGUGCCCUUAAAGCACAUAUUAGUGAACUAAUUAUAGAAACAUUG